GAUUAAUAUUUAAAAUAUAUAAGGAACUCAAACAACUCAGUAACAAGAAAACCUGAUUAACAAAUAGAAGGACUGAAUAGACAUUUCUCAACAGAAGACAUACAAAUGUCCAACAAGUAUAUGAAAAAAUACUCAAGAAAACUAAUCAUCAGUAAAAUGCAAAUCAAAACCACAAUAAGAUGUCACCUCACUCCCAUUAGAAUGGCUAUGCCACAUUUUGGCUGUUUGCGCCUUCUGAAAUUCGUAUUGAAAUUUCACACUAAUUUUAACAGUAUUAAGAGGGUGGGAAAUCUGACUAUGGUGUUUGGGUGGAGCAUUAGUGGGUUUAUAAGUGGAGAAAGUGACACCUGAGCUAGCAUGGUUAGCCCUCUUGUCAUAUGAUUUCCUGCACCAUCAGGGACUCUGCAGAGUUCCCCCUGGCAAGAAUGUUCUCACCAGAUGCAGCCUGUCAAUCUUGGACUUCCCAGCCUCCAGAAUCAUGAGCAUUAUUUACAGUAGCCAAGAUAUGGAAUCAACCCAACUGUCCAUCAACAGAUAAAUGAAUAAGGAAAAUAUGGUAUAUACACAGUGGAAUACUAUUCAUUCAUUGAAAAGAAGGAAAUCCUGCCAUUUGCAUCAACAUGGAUGAACCUGGAGGAUAUUAAGUGAAACAAGCCAGGCACAGGAAGACAAAUACCACAUGCUUUCACUCAUAUAUGUGGAGCAUUGUACCCUGGAAUGCCAGUUCCUUGAUGAAGAGAUUGGAUUUUUUUGACUGAAUUCUAUAUACUUCUCCAAGUACCUGGUAUUUAGCGGCCUCUCAGCUAUUACUAAUACUUGUUUGGUCCUGGAGAUGUUUAAUAAUUACCUGUUGCUUUAUCUUGAGGAUAGCAGUCAAGUAGAAUGAAGACUGCUGAGGUGAAAAACAGACACACAAAAGCCUAAAUAGCCGAGAGUCCUCAGUUCACUGGAGGCUCCAGAUAUCUUCACAAUUGUAAAGACAGAAACAAAAAAUUUGAAAAAUACCAAAAGGAAAAAUAAGUGCAAACCAAAACAGGGAAUGACAAAGGAAGCCAUCUGAAGAUGCCUUCAUCAUCUGAACAUUUCUCAGUUGCUAUUUUACUUUUUGAAAGUAGACUGUUAUUUAAGAGUCAAUUGCAUUUAUCUGUGCCUCAUCUCCCCUAUUUAUUAUGCCUCCUCAAGGCAUUGGACAAUGUUAACCACAUUCCUUUUAACUCCCCAGAACAUUGAGUCUUAUGCAUCAAGUGAGAGCAAUUUAUAAGCCCUUCGUUAUGUUUUCCCGGAAACUAGAUGAAAGUGUUUUAAGUAAGGAGAAAUCACUUAAAAUGGUAAGCUUGUCUAUUUCUCUGCAUGGUUGAGGACGUCCAGCUGCUCUGGGCUGCAGUUUGUGUCCUGCCAUCCCUGCAAAACUUCUGCCUGAUAUCUGCCUUCACCACCACCCAACCCAAAGCAACUCUGAUUCUGGCAAGCUGACCUCUCUUUUUUCAGGGCAAUUUAUCUCUCCCUGUGCCCUGGGAGAGGCCAGACAACAGUCCUGAGAGACGCUGCCAGCAAGUUGUUUAUGCCAGGAGAGUGUUGCCCUACCCGUGGCCUCACUGCAGAGCCCUCUAUGGAGAGGGGAUGUAUCUGAUUCUGAUGUUCUUUUACAAAUCAAAUUUCUGCAUUUUAAUUUUUGUACCUCUUCUCAGACGCUGCAUUGUAUGAUAGAAUAUUUAUUUUAUUAUUAAAAAUGGUGAAUUAACUAGCACAUUGCUUUUUCUAUCUUAAUAACGACUAUCUUAAUUCUGUAAAAUUAUAAUGUAAGUCUUGAGUAAAGUAGUCAUUGCAGUAUUUUAUAAUCCUAGUCAUAUACCAGAGCUUUCUCAAGGGGAAAAGUAUUAUAGUUAUCUCUUCAAUAUUUGCUUAUGUGAAACAGUUAUUAACACCGUUUAUAGCUAACCCUGUCUGUAGUGACUGUUUUGAGAACCCUAAAUCUCUAAUUUAAAGGCCCAAGAUUUUAUCAGUUUGUAUGGAACCUGUGUUUGCUCCUCAGUCCUGGUUUCCUAAUAAACUUAUGAAGAUAUUUGUGAUGGAUUUCUGAAGAUUUCGAGUACAUGUGAGGGGAUUCAGUACAAAUUACAGGGAUUCAACACAUUGACAGCAGGAAAAAUGUAAUGAAUUGUUAGGUGGGGAAUGAUGUAAAGUGAAGUAAUCUGAAUAAAAGCCUAUAUUAUA
rnacentral:lncRNA from 1 species